GACCAUCCAGUUCAGCGGCACGGUGGCUCGAACCGACCCGUUACUGUGCAGCAGCCGCGGUAAUACGCGUGCCUAACACAUGCAAGUCGAACGAGAAAGCCGGCUUCGGCGGGUGAGUAAAGUGGCGAACGGGUGAGUAACGCGUGGGUAAUCUGCCCUGGAGUGGGGGAUAACUUCGCGAAAGCGGAGCUAAUACCGCAUGAGCCCUUGACCUUGGGGUUAAGGGGAAAGACUUCGGGUGCUCGAGGAGGAGCCCGCGUCCGAUUAGCUAGUUGGUGAGGUAACGGCUCACCAAGACAGCGAUGUCUACGGGGUCUUAAAGGAUGAUCCCGCACACUGGUACUGAGACACGGACCAGACUCCUACGGGAGGCAGCAGUGAGGAAUAUUGCGCAAUGGACGAAAGUCUGACGCAGCCAUGCCGCGUGCAGGAUGACGGCUCUAUGAGUUGUAAACUGCUUUUAUACGGGAAGAAAAAAGUCCACGUGUGGACAACUGACGGUACCGUAAGAAUAAGGAUCGGCUAACUCCGUGCCAGCAGCCGCGGUAAUACAAGCCGA
rnacentral:rRNA from 1 species